GGAACGCGGGCCGGCCAGACAGGAAAGGGCAGAAGGCAGAGGAACCCUGUGCCAGAGUGGACGUUGGGGCCAAAGCUUUGGAGACGCUGCUGGCAGGACCCAGACCCCCCGCUCUGGAGAGCCAGGCAGAGAGGACUCAGACACACAAGGAGAACCAAGAGGGGCCGGCCCUGCAGGAGGGGGGCAAUGGAGGCCAGAGUGGAGCCUCUGACCAGGACCAGGCUCCAGAAGACAGAUGGUACGAGGCCGAGAAAGUCUGGCUGGUCCAGAAGGAUGGAUUCACCCUCGCAACGGUGCUGAAGCCAGACGAGGGAACAGCCGACCUGCCAGCAGGAAGGGUGCGCCUUUGCAUUGAUGCUGACAAAAGCAUCACCGAGGUGGAUGAGGAGCAUGUUCAUCGGGCCAACCCCCCCGAGCUGGACCAGGCCGACGACCUGGCCUCCCUGGUCAGUGUCAACGAGUCGAGUGUCCUGAACACGCUUCGGCACCGCUACGAAGCUGGGCUGCUGCACACCUGGACCGGGCCGGACCUGAUCGUCCUGCAGCCGCGGGGGUCCCCGG